rnacentral:pre_miRNA from 1 species
GCAUUUGGGGCCUGAUCCAUAUUUCACUGAAGUCAGUGAGAGUGUUUCCAUUGACUUCACUGGGCUUUGGAUCAGGCCCCUGGGC